rnacentral:rRNA from 1 species
UUACAGCUACUAUAUGCCUCAACACAUGACAAUACGAACGUUGCUCUAAGAAGUGCUUCCCGGUGCACCGGUAUUCAACUCAACUCUAUUUGGGGUGGGGGAGCAGUUGAGAACAAAGUGGCGAACGGGUGCGUAACGCGUGGGAAUCUGCCGAACAGUUCGGGCCAAAUCCUGAAUUCCAUUCACCAUUCCCAUCCCCCUUCUAUAGAGGUAGGGCUAUAGGGCAAGGUAGGGCCCCGGCACUAGUUAUAGUGGGGGCAUCGUAACCUUUCCAACCAGCCCCUACCCCUGCAGGGGAGGGGCCCUUAAAUAGUAGGGGCCUCCCCCCCACCCCGGGCCUUGAUAGGGGUGGGUGGGGGGUAAAU